GCAUGAAAUGUAAAUAAUAACCAGGCCUGCUAAUUGGCUUGCUUCUUGGAAACAAAGCUGUGACCGCGUGGCUGUGCCAGUCUUGGCUCCGUCAUUAAGUAUUUCUGCUGGUAAGUUGUUUCUGCUGAUCUGGAGAGGAAAGCACAGCCUCGCAGACAGACCUUUGUGUGAAAGUUCUUCUGGCGAGAGGAAGGGCCUGAGAGAGAGAGACCAUGUUGAUAGCUUGGCCUUGUGGAGACAUCAUCUAGUUGAAGAUGUUGAAGAUUUUGGUUUGGCAACAUGCCCUGUGCACAGAUGGAAGACUCCGGGCUUCACAUGCCCACAGCCUCCUCGUGGUCUCAAAAGCUACCUCCUGUGGCCCAUCUAGAAGGAAGAACUGAGAUAGCCUCCCUGGCAGAGGGACGAUGCCUAUGGGUUCCAAGGAGAGUCAAAAGGUGACAUGGCGUUGGGACAUCCCUUCUUUCCUGUUUCUUGGGCAAGGAGAGUACAUGUUUCCAACAGAAGGAAGUUGGAGCUCCAUUGCAGAGCACAGGCACAGAAGUUGUGACAUUCUCAGCCCAGUAGCUAGUUGACUAAAGAUGUGCCAUCCAUUAAAAUUCAUUGACCUCACAAGUGGUGACCAAGGGGCAAGAGGGUUUCAUGGUGUGCCACUCCAGUUCUCCUUAGCAUCCCUAAAGAAACGACUUUGCUUUGAAAAACAAUUCAUAAAAUCAUUGUUACUAUUAUUAUAAAUAUUCAAAACCUGGCUGAACACAGUGGCUCAUGCCUGUAAUCCUAGCACUUUGGGAGGCCCAGGUAGGCAGAUCACUUGAGGUCAGGAGUUCAAGACCAGCCCGGCCAACAUGGUGAAACCCCAUCUCUACUAAAAAUACAAAAAAUAAAAUAAAAUUAGCCAAGGAUGGGUGGCACAUGCCUUUAAUUCCAGACACUUGGGUGGCUGAAGCAGGAGAAUUGCUUGAACCCGGGAGGCGAAGGUUGCAGUGAGCCAAGAUUGCACCACUGCACUCCAGCCUGUGUGACAAAGUGAGACUCUGUCUCAAAAAAAUAAAUAAAUAAAUAAAUAAAUAAAAACCUCUCCUUUUGUAGCUUCUCCUAAUAAUCCUUUGGAAAUAAAAGAUCAUCUAAGAGCACCUUCAAAAAAGGACCUAGAAAAAUCACAAGGAAAAUUUAAAAAGCAGUUAUCUUCCCCACGCCCAUGAACAUGGUCAGGAGCCAUGAGUUUGAUACGCAGGACUGAUAUUCCCGCAAAAGAUGUUUGUGGAGUACCUGCCGGCUGUCACAACCUCUUUUAGGUUGCUGGGUACAUGGAAAAGAGUAGGGUGAACCAAGCCAUCACAGAACACAGGACUCGGAGGCAUGAGGAAACUCAAGGCCCUAAGACAAGUUCUUGAUAAGGACAAAGUCUGGUGAAUGCGCAUCAGUCUAGAGACAGACAAACAGAGAAGGCUUCCUAGAGGAAAAGAUGCCUGAGCUGAAAACACAACGCACAGGUGCAUGGGAUGAAAGGAUCCUUCCAGGCUGAGUGAUGCACAUGUGCAUGCCACUCCCAAGGAACUGAAGCAUCUGUGAGUCGCAGAGGCCAACCCCUGGACAAACAGUGUCAAGGUUGAGACCAGGGUCCCCAGACUCUCUUCUGCCAGUUGAGGAAUCCCUUCCAAAAAGCAGAGUCUUAGGAUGCCUGCAAAAGACGUCCUUUGUCAUCUCCCUUGAGGAUAAAUCAGUCUCUCUGUUGAGCUCACUGGAGGAGUCAAGCAAAAGGAAGGAAGAUUCUAAACCAACUCAGCAAGACACAGGAGGCAGGUUAAGAAACUUUCUUCACAUGUGUUCUUGGAAUGACUUUUUCACAUAGUAAGAUGUUCAGUGAGGGUUUGCCCCAUGCCAGAUUCAAAUAGAAACGAUGCUACCAGCCUCUGUCCGGAUGCACGUUUCUCUAUAUUUUGACCAGAAGGAGGCCAGACACCGCAUAGAUCUGUAACCAAGAGGGAAGCAAACCAAAAGGUGCCCAGGAAAAACAAAUAAUCCCCAAACAGU
rnacentral:lncRNA from 1 species